rnacentral:misc_RNA from 1 species
GAACGCACCUUGCGCCCUUUGGUAUUCCGAAGGGCAUGCCUGUUUGAGUGUCAUUAAAUUAUCAACCUUGUUCGCUUUUACGAGCUUGAGCGAGGCUUGGAUGUGAGGGCUUGCUGGCUUCCUUCAGUGGAUGGUCUGCUCCCUUUAAAUGCAUUAGUGGGAUCUCUUGUGGACCGUCACUUGGUGUGAUAAUUAUCUAUGCCAUUUGACUGUGAAGCAAAAUUAUGGGAACCUGCUUAUAACCGUCUCGCAAGGGACAAUUUAAUUGACUAUUUGACCUCAAAUCAGGUAGGACUACCCGCUGAACUUAAG